rnacentral:rRNA from 1 species
AGCGAACGCUGGCGGUAGGCCUAACACAUGCAAGUCGAACGGCAGCACAGUAAGAGCUUGCUCUUACGGGUGGCGAGUGGCGGACGGGUGAGGUAUACAUCGGAAUCUACUUUUUCGUGGGGGAUAACGUAGGGAAACUUACGCUAAUACAGCAUAUGACCUACGGGGGAAAGCAGGGGAUCUUCGGACCUGGCGCGAUUGAAUGAGCCGAUGACGGAUUGGCUAGUUGGCGGGGUAAAGGCCCACCAAGGCGACGAUCGGUAGCCGGUCGGAGAGGCUGGUAGGCGACAUUGGAGCUUAGCCGGGGUCCAUGCUCCUGCGGUAGGCAGCAGUGGGGUAUGUUGGACAGUAGGCGCAAGCCUUAUACAGCGGUCCCGCGUGUGUUGAGAAGGCGUUCGGGUUGUAAAGACCUUUUGUUGGGAAAGAAAAGCAGCCGGUUAAUACGCCGCUGUUCUGACGGUACCCAAUGAAUAAGCACCGGCUAACUUCGUG